GAAAAGCUUGCUUUUCCGCUGACGACCGGCGCACGGGUGCGUAACACGUAUGCAACCUACCUCUUACUGGGGGAUAGCCCAGAGAAAUUUGGAUUAACACCCCAUAGUAUCACCAGUUCGCAUGUUCAGGUGAUUAAAGGUUACGGUAAGAGAUGGGCAUGCGCCCCAUUAGCUAGUUGGUGAGGUAACGGCUCACCAAGGCUACGAUGGGUAGGGGGUCUGAGAGGACUAUCCCCCACACUGGUACUGAGACACGGACCAGACUCCUACGGGAGGCAGCAGUGAGGAAUAUUGCGCAAUGGACGAAAGUCUGACGCAGCCAUGCCGCGUGCAGGAUGACGGCGCUAUGCGUUGUAAACUGCUUUUAUAUGCCAAGAAACCUUCGGACGUGUCCGAAGCUGACGGUAGCAUAUGAAUAAGCACCGGC
rnacentral:rRNA from 1 species